CCUGUUCCUCUCUCUUCCUCUUCCUGUCUCUUCCUCUUCCUGUCUCUGAUCACACUUCGCGCCACUGAGGAUUUUUAAGGAGCUGCGUUGUCAACUUGUAUCAUCACAAUCAAUCAGAAAAGUCAUUUUGUUGUGUUGAUUAUGGACAUCAGACGGUUCUUUGUAUCAAGCAAACCCGCAGCGCAGAAACCGUCUCAGGAUGGAAACCUCAACACAGAGUCCCCGAAGAAGAAAUCCGUCUCAACAGACGAAGAAGUGAAGAAAAAGCAAACUGCUACCAAGGUGGUGAAGAAGAAGAAGAAGGACAGUGAUAAAAAGACAAAGAAGCGUGCUGUCAUUGAGUCAGGUAGGCUAGUUGAGAACAAAUUCUCAUUUGCAAAUGAGGCGACAUAUUCAUGAUUUAGGCGGAAUCCCGACCUAACACAAGGUCAGAGGGUCAGAGAGGCAGACUCUGAGGAGGAGGUAGUGGAGCAGAAGGUCCGGAAACAGCACCCUCCUCUUCCUCCUGCCAAGAAAGACCCGGUGCAGUAUGUCUCUGAGACAGAUUCAGACAGUGAUAACUUCCUGUCUCUGAAGAAGUCUGCAAAGCCCCAGGAUAAUGGAGUGACCAAACCAGGGAAGGCCCGCACCGGGACCAAAGAGAUCUACAGGUCCCCCUCGAAACCCACCCCUGCGCCCGCCAAGGGGAAAGGAGUGAUAAAGAAGUCUCCUCCAGCCCCCGUCACCCCUAAAUCAGCGCCCCAGCACACCAAACGCAC
rnacentral:lncRNA from 1 species